GACAGAGGGUGCAAACGUUGUUCGGAAUUACUGGGCGUAAAGCGAGUGUAGGCGGUUCGAUAAGUCGGAUGUGAAAGCCCCGGGCUCAACCCGGGAAGUGCACUCGAAACUGCAGAGCUCGAGUCUCGGAGAGGAUCGCGGAAUUCUCGGUGUAGAGGUGAAAUUCGUAGAUAUCGAGAGGAACACCGGUGGCGAAGGCGGCGAUCUGGACGAUGACUGACGCUGAGACGCGAAAGCGUAGGGAGCAAACAGG
rnacentral:rRNA from 1 species